GACGAACGCUGGCGGCAUGCCUAACACAUGCAAGUCGAGCGAGCAGAUCCCUUCGGGGUGAAGCUAGCGGCGGACGGGUGAGUAACACGUGGGCAACCUGCCUCAUAGAGGGGAAUAGCCUUCCGAAAGGAAGAUUAAUACCGCAUAAGAUUGUAGCUUCGCAUGAAGUAGCAAUUAAAGGAGCAAUCCACUAUGAGAUGGGCCCGCGGCGCAUUAGCUAGUUGGUGAGGUAACGGCUCACCAAGGCGACGAUGCGUAGCCGACCUGAGAGGGUGAUCGGCCACAUUGGGACUGAGACACGGCCCAGACUCCUACGGGAGGCAGCAGUGGGGAAUAUUGCACAAUGGGGGAAACCCUGAUGCAGCAAUGCCGCGUGAGUGAUGACGGCCUUCGGGUUGUAAAGCUCUGUCUUCGGGGACGAUAAUGACGGUACCCGAGGAGGAAGCCACGGCUAACUACGUGCCAGCCGCCGCGGUAA
rnacentral:rRNA from 1 species